rnacentral:rRNA from 1 species
AUUGAACGCUGGCGGCAGGCCUAACACAUGCAAGUCGAGCGGAUGAAGGGAGCUUGCUCCUGGAUUCAGCGGCGGACGGGUGAGUAAUGCCUAGGAAUCUGCCUGGUAGUGGGGGAUAACGUCCGGAAACGGGCGCUAAUACCGCAUACGUCCUGAGGGAGAAAGUGGGGGAUCUUCGGACCUCACGCUAUCAGAUGAGCCUAGGUCGGAUUAGCUAGUUGGUGGGGUAAAGGCCUACCAAGGCGACGAUCCGUAACUGGUCUGAGAGGAUGAUCAGUCACACUGGAACUGAGACACGGUCCAGACUCCUACGGGAGGCAGCAGUGGGGAAUAUUGGACAAUGGGCGAAAGCCUGAUCCAGCCAUGCCGCGUGUGUGAAGAAGGUCUUCGGAUUGUAAAGCACUUUAAGUUGGGAGGAGGGGCAGUAAGUUAAUACCUUGCUGUUUUGACGUUACCAACAGAAUAAGCACCGGCUAACUUCGU